GACGCUGAGUAACGCGUAGGGACCUGCCCCGAAGUGGGGAAUAACUGCCCGAAAGGGUGGCUAAUACCGCAUGGAGGGGCCUGCGUCCGAUUAGCUCGUUGGUGGGGUAACGGCUCACCAAGGCGACGAUCGGUAGGUGGUCUGAAGGACGAUCACCCAGACUGGACUGAGACACGGCCCAGACUCCUACGGGAGGCAGCAGUCGGGAAUUUUGCGCAAUGGGCGAAAGCCUGACGCAGCAACGCCGCGUGAGGGAUGACGGCCUUCGGGUUGUAAACCUCUUUUGUCAGGGACGGUACCUGGCGAAUAAGCCACGCUAACUACGUGCCAGCAGCCGCGGUAAUACGUAUGGCGAGCGUUGUCCGGAUUUACUGGGCGUAAGAGCGCGCAGCGGUCGUCCAAGUCGCGUGUGAAGCCCCCGGCUCAACUGGGGAGGUCACGCGAUACUGUUCACUCGAAGGCAGGAGAGGGAGUGGAAUCCCGGUGUAGUGUGAAAUGCGUAGAUAUCGGAAGGAACACCAGUGGAUCACAGUGAAUUCGC
rnacentral:rRNA from 1 species